rnacentral:rRNA from 1 species
UUGCUGGAGGUAUCAGAAGUGCGAAUGCUGACAUAAGUAACGAUAAAGCGGGUGAAAAGCCCGCUCGCCGGAAGACCAAGGGUUCCUGUCCAACGUUAAUCGGGGCAGGGUGAGUCGACCCCUAAGGCGAGGCCGAAAGGCGUAGUCGAUGGGAAACGGGUUAAUAUUCCCGUACUUGGUGUUACUGCGAAGGGGGGACGGAGAAGGCUAUGUUGGCCGGGCGACGGUUGUCCCGGUUUAAGCGUGUAGGUGUGUGUUCCAGGUAAAUCCGGUUCACUUUAACACUGAGGCGUGACGACGAGGCACUACGGUGCUGAAGCAACAAAUGCCCUGCUUCCAGGAAAAGCCUCUAAGCAUCAGGUAACAUCAAAUCGUACCCCAAACCGACACAGGUGGUCAGGUAGAGAAUACCAAGGCGCUUGAGAGAACUCGGGUGAAGGAACUAGGCAAAAUGGUGCCGUAACUUCGGGAGAAGGCACGCUGACAUGUAGGUGAAGUGAUUUACUCAUGGAGCUGAAGUCAGUCGAAGAUACCAGCUGGCUGCAACUGUUUAUUAAAAACACAGCACUGUGCAAACACGAAAGUGGACGUAUACGGUGUGACGCCUGCCCGGUGCCGGAAGGUUAAUUGAUGGGGUCAGCGCAAGCGAAGCUCCUGAUCGAAGCCCCGGUAAACGGCGGCCGUAACUAUAACGGUCCUAAGGUAGCGAAAUUCCUUGUCGGGUAAGUUCCGACCUGCACGAAUGGCGUAAUGAUGGCCAGGCUGUCUCCACCCGAGACUCAGUGAAAUUGAACUCGCUGUGAAGAUGCAGUGUACCCGCGGCAAGACGGAAAGACCCCGUGAACCUUUACUAUAGCUUGACACUGAACAUUGAGCCUUGAUGUGUAGGAUAGGUGGGAGGCUUUGAAGUGUGGACGCCAGUCUGCAUGGAGCCGACCUUGAAAUACCACCCUUUAAUGUUUGAUGUUCUAACGUGGACCCGUUAUCCGGGUUGCGGACAGUGUCUGGUGGGUAGUUUGACUGGGGCGGUCUCCUCCUAAAGAGUAACGGAGGAGCACGAAGGUUGGCUAAUCCUGGUCGGACAUCAGGAGGUUAGUGCAAUGGCAUAAGCCAGCUUGACUGCGAGCGUGACGGCGCGAGCAGGUGCGAAAGCAGGUCAUAGUGAUCCGGUGGUUCUGAAUGGAAGGGCCAUCGCUCAACGGAUAAAAGGUACUCCGGGGAUAACAGGCUGAUACCGCCCAAGAGUUCAUAUCGACGGCGGUGUUUGGCACCUCGAUGUCGGCUCAUCACAUCCUGGGGCUGAAGUAGGUCCCAAGGGUAUGGCUGUUCGCCAUUUAAAGUGGUACGCGAGCUGGGUUUAGAACGUCGUGAGACAGUUCGGUCCCUAUCUGCCGUGGGCGCUGGAGAACUGAGGGGGGCUGCUCCUAGUACGAGAGGACCGGAGUGGACGCAUCACUGGUGUUCGGGUUGUCAUGCCAAUGGCACUGCCCGGUAGCUAAAUGCGGAAGAGAUAAGUGCUGAAAGCAUCUAAGCACGAAACUUGCCCCGAGAUGAGUUCUCCCUGAGACUUAGAGUCUCCUGAAGGAACGUUGAAGACGACGACGUUGAUAGGCCGGGUGUGUAAGCGCAGCGAUGCGUUGAGCUAACCGGUACUAAUGAACCGUGAGGCUUAACCUUACAACGCCGAAG